rnacentral:rRNA from 1 species
UACGUAGGGUGCGAGCGUUGCCCGGAUUUAUUGGGCGUAAAGGGCGCGUAGGCGGCUACGCACGUCCGUUGUGAAAUCGCUCGGCUCAACUGGGCGGGGUCAGCGGAUACGGCGUAGCUGGAGCAAGCUAGGGGGCAAUGGAAUUCCCGGUGUAGUGGUGGAAUGCGUAGAUAUCGGGAGGAACACCAGUGGCGAAGGCGGUUGCCUGGAGCUUUGCUGACGCUGAUGCGCGAAAGCGUGGGGAGCAAACAGG